CCAGCUCUUCUGUAUGUUGUAUAGUGUAUUUUCUGUCAUAAGGUUUAUGCUCCUGGAGUAGUUUGUCCAGUGUUUGUGGGUGUCAUCGCGUCCUCAAGUUUAAGGAGGAGAGGAAGACAUGUAAGGUCCCUGGGAGAAAUGGUAGGAAACAGGGCUUGGCUGGCGGAUCGGGAGGCAGGAUGGAUGGAACUACUGUGAAAAGGGGAGAAGGCCUCCAGUCUGCCUAACAGUGUAUUACACACGUUGCUGGGAAUUUGUGAAGCUUUGUGAGACCUUAAUGAAUAACCAGCUUCCAGCUUGUCUCACAGUUAUUACAACCGGCAGCCAAACACAUAGCAGUGAUGACAGCACUGGAGGCACGGGAUUUGAUCUAACAGUCAGUUUGAACAUUGAGAAAACAACCUAAAACCUGCUCCAUCUACUGAUCAGCCGAGGUAUUACCUGAGCAGAGCAGUUUUGUACCCAUGUAAACCAGUGGUGAUGGACAGUUUGGAUAACUUCCAGUCUGACAUUGGACAGCUCUGCCUGGUUAUGCGAGACACUCCGUGAGAACGGGACAGGAUUGGCCUGCCUAGAGAUGACACUAGCUGUGGGCGGAGUCUUGCCCUGACUCUGGUGCCGU